rnacentral:rRNA from 1 species
AUUGAACGCUGGCGGCAGGCUUAACACAUGCAAGUCGAACGAGUGGCGGACGGGUGAGUAAUGCUUGGGAAUCUAGCUUAUGGAGGGGGAUAACUACUGGAAACGGUAGCUAAUACCGCAUACUAUCGGAUGAACCCAUAUGGGAUUAGCUAGUUGGUGAGGUAAUGGCUCACCAAGGCGACGAUCCCUAGCUGGUCUGAGAGGAUGAUCAGCCACACUGGGACUGAGACACGGCCCAGACUCCUACGGGAGGCAGCAGUGGGGAAUAUUGCACAAUGGGCGCAAGCCUGAUGCAGCCAUGCCGCGUGUAUGAAGAAGGCCUUCGGGUUGUAAAGUACUUUCAGCGGGGAGGCGUUACCCGCAGAAGAAGCACCGGCUAACUCCGUGCCAGCAGCCGCGGUAAUUC